UCUUUGGUAAACAUCUCUGUAGUAUUCACCACGGUAACUCAACCUGUUUUGGACCGAUUGCGUUAAGACCCGGAGAGAGACUCUUGAGAGAGAUGAGCCGAUCUUGAACUACCUCAGUGAGAGAACACCACAGCUAGACCCGAGAACACAGUUGCUAAAAAGGGAUGGGGAGUUCGCUACUUCUGUCGCACGCAGUUACCCAGAGAGCAUCUCAAGGAAUGACGUAAUUCCGGUCAAACCGCUUGAGCGUCCGUUGCGACCUUCCCUAUUCUGAGGACUCCAGGGCUCGUUCACUUUGUCCCCAGCUAUCAACGAGAGUGGAAGUGCGCGUUUUGUACCGCGAGUUUUUUGGCUUUUUGUACAAAAUUUUCCCGUAUAGUUAUUUUGUGUGUGCGCUAGCUAAAGUAAUUUGUCGUGUGCGAACAGGAGCUAGAAGGAGAAAAGGAGUUCGCCCGUUAGCAACAGCGCUAACCAUCCCGCAGCAGCACCAGUCCAGCAGCAGCGCGAACACACGAGCAGCAGAGCAGAGGAAAACGGAGACGAAGUUCCCCGCGCACCGCACUUCUCGUUGGCGCCGUACGUCACCAGGCGAAGCACGAGGACGAAGAGCGUGAGCGCACGCUAGGAGGCGAUCCGUAACCACAUCGCCCCGGUGAAGAAGGGAGGGUCCCUGAACCACCACUGAAGGACAGCGGAGAACGUUAGUCCCGGCCGGAGUCAACCCUAAGGCCGGAGCUUCCUGUCCGGUUGCGAACACCUGACAGCCGCGGAACCGGGAAAAGUCCAGAACCGGCCCGAGCCACCCCGUAAGGCCGAGUCCCGCGCAUUCCGGUCAGCUGUUCACCAGCUGACGGCCACGUGUCGUCCCUGAGCUGAGCAACCAGCCCAAGUAGCAGAGAACAACAGCAGCAACAAGAUCAUCAUUCGGUGAGUCCGUUCUAUUUGCACUUGGUGGGAGAAGCACGUCCCUAGCUGACGUAGCACGUUUUUCGCCGGCCUAGUGCCGAGGCGGCAGACGCGAGUCCGCCCUUGACGAACGCGUCCAAAGUUUGAGGUUCGAACUUUAAUCCCACGCGUUUGUACGUCACCCGUGGAUGACCCCCAAGAUCUAAACGCGCGCGCGCGCAAUUUCGUAGCAGUAGCCGAUUUGAUCAGCUGAUUGCUGGAAGAUGGGAAGAGCACAUGAGCACGGUUAGGGAAACAGACAGAAGUAAAGAUAACACGCACACACGCAAAGUAGGUAGAAGUUAGAAAACUUGAAGAUGGCCACUAACACUAUUGUACAAAUAUAAAAGCAUGCUAACCAAACGAACACACGAGAACUCGACUUUGUUUUUGGAGUUUAUGAAAUAAAACUACCCUAGAUCUUUUCCUGAUGAAUAAAACGUUCGUUUAACUGUUAUUUAAAACCUACUUGUGGAGUUUCUUUAGUUGAUUUGAUUUGGAGUUAUGUCACUGUUCGUCGUCUUUUUUCGUUCUGUUUCUGAAUGACAGAGCUUGGCGUCGAAUGCACUGCCACGAUCGAAGCGCUGCCUGGUGGCAGGUGGCGGCACUGCCGAUGAGGAGCUUUUAGGCAUGGGAAGCAACACACUGGAGUAAGAUGUCUGGGUAACUUCUUGUGGUUGGCGUGACGGAUUCUCGGUUUCGUUUAGUGGCAGUUCUCGGUGAUCUAGCUGGUUCGAUCCUGAAUCCUCCGAUGAGGAUCAGUACAAAAUGGGCUCGUCUUUUAAAAGAGUCUCGACCGGGCAAACUAACAUGGCGUGCGAUCUCCCCUUGGGAGUGGCGCAUAAAUCACACGCUCACCAGAUCGACUAGCAACGGUUAC